UUUUGUUAGGAUUGCAGAGUCAGGAGAGCCACUGUGGUCAAAAAAAGGUGCUCCUGAUUCAAACUCUUCUGAAAUGGAUGAUCAGAACUCCAGUCAAGAUGAAACGAAAAAAACUGCAAAUAACAUAUCUCGACUUGGUGCUAUUAUUGAUAGAGGAGAUUCUGAUGCCCACGUCUCUGGUGGAGCAGCAAGAAAUUCUGUUAACUGCUUCUCUCUCUCUAAUGGAGACAUA
rnacentral:misc_RNA from 1 species